rnacentral:rRNA from 1 species
AGGCGGGGUAGAGAUCUUUCGGGAUCUUGAGAGCGGCGUACGGGUGCGGAACACGUGUGCAACCUGCCUUUAUCUGGGGGAUAGCCUUUCGAAAGGAAGAUUAAUACCCCAUAAUAUAUUGAAUGGCAUCAUUUGAUAUUGAAAACUCCGGUGGAUAGAGAUGGGCACGCGCAAGAUUAGAUAGUUGGUGAGGUAACGGCUCACCAAGUCAGCGAUCUUUAGGGGGCCUGAGAGGGUGAUCCCCCACACUGGUACUGAGACACGGACCAGACUCCUACGGGAGGCAGCAGUGAGGAAUAUUGGACAAUGGGUGAGAGCCUGAUCCAGCCAUCCCGCGUGAAGGACGACGGCCCUAUGGGUUGUAAACUUCUUUUGUAUAGGGAUAAACCUACCCUCGUGAGGGUAGCUGAAGGUACUAUACGAAUAAGCACCGGCUAACUCCGUGCCAGCAGCCGCGGUAAUACGGAGGGUGCAAGCGUUAUCCGGAUUUAUUGGGUUUAAAGGGUCCGUAGGCUGAUUUGUAAGUCAGUGGUGAAAUCUCACAGCUUAACUGUGAAACUGCCAUUGAUACUGCAAGUCUUGAGUGUUGUUGAAGUAGCUGGAAUAAGUAGUGUAGCGGUGAAAUGCAUAGAUAUUACUUAGAACACCAAUUGCGAAGGCAGGUUACUAAGCAACAACUGACGCUGAUGGACGAAAGCGUGGGGAGCGAACAGGAUUAGAUACCCUGGUAGUCCACGCCGUAAACGAUGCUAACUCGUUUUUGGGCUUUCGGGUUCAGAGACUAAGCGAAAGUGAUAAGUUAGCCACCUGGGGAGUACGAACGCAAGUUUGAAACUCAAAGGAAUUGACGGGGGCCCGCACAAGCGGUGGAUUAUGUGGUUUAAUUCGAUGAUACGCGAGGAACCUUACCAAGGCUUAAAUGGGAAAUGACAGGCUUAGAAAUAGGCUUUUCUUCGGACAUUUUUCAAGGUGCUGCAUGGUUGUCGUCAGCUCGUGCCGUGAGGUGUUAGGUUAAGUCCUGCAACGAGCGCAACCCCUGUCACUAGUUGCCAUCAUUAAGUUGGGGACUCUAGUGAGACUGCCUACGCAAGUAGAGAGGAAGGUGGGGAUGACGUCAAAUCAUCACGGCCCUUACGCCUUGGGCCACACACGUAAUACAAUGGCCGGUACAGAGGGCAGCUACACUGCGAAGUGAUGCAAAUCUCGAAAGCCGGUCUCAGUUCGGAUUGGAGUCUGCAACUCGACUCUAUGAAGCUGGAAUCGCUAGUAAUCGCGCAUCAGCCAUGGCGCGGUGAAUACGUUCCCGGGCCUUGUACACACCGCCCGUCAAGCCAUGGAAGUCUGGGGUACCUGAAGUCGGUGACCGGUAAAAC